GUCCACUGUUUUCGGGUCAAAUCC
rnacentral:siRNA from 1 species